AAAUGAUCGAAACGUCGGACCAAUGGGAUGAAGGACCAUUUAGGUGUCGGAAUAUUGCGAUAUCGGAAUAUUAUAGCUUCAUUUUAACUUGUAAUCUCAUCAUUCUUAUCAGUCAAAAUAUCCAUACAAAGACAACUUCCUUGGCAUGGGCAUAUACCAGUACAGCAGAGGUUUUGCUCAAAGCGGACACAAGAUCUACUAUAUACAGAUUGAAUUAAAAAUUGGAAAUGGACAUGAGGAAUUUGUCAAAGAGACACCAACCCGUUCAAAAAGCAGACAACGGCCGAUGAC
rnacentral:lncRNA from 1 species